rnacentral:tRNA from 1 species
GUGGGAGUAGCCAAGUCUGGUAAGGCAUUGGAUGGGCAAAUUGCCCAUAGUCCUUGGUUCACAAACUUGCCUGUAAAGGCUGAAGAAUUGAGGUUAUCGUGGUUCCAUCAUCCGCAGGUUCAAAUCCUGCCUCCCACG